CGGGAAGUAGCUCAGCUUGGUAGAGCACUUGGUUUGGGACCAAGGGGUCGCAGGUUCAAAUCCUGUCUUCCCGACCA
rnacentral:tRNA from 54 species